rnacentral:misc_RNA from 1 species
GAUGAAGAACGUAGCGAAAUGCGAAAAGUAAUGUGAAUUGCAGAAUUCAGUGAACCAUCGAAUCUUUGAACGCACAUUGCGCCCGCUGGAACUCCGGCGGGCACGCCUGUCCGAGCGUCAUUUCAACCCUCAGGCCCCCCUUCGCGGGCGGGCCUGGUGUUGGGGCCCGGCCGCUACCCUGCGGCCGUCCCCUAAAUUCAGUGGCGGCCUCGCCGUGAUCCCUUGCGUAGUAAUGCACCUCGCACCGGAGAGCGCCGUGGCCACGCCGUAAAACCCCCAAUUUUCAAUGGUUGACCUCGGAUCAGGUGGGAAUACCCGCUGAACUUAAGCAUAUCAAUAAGCGAGGA